GUUUCUUGCAAACUACCACACUCUUGUUGAGUCUCAUGGAUCAGGCCCUAAGAGAAGGUCAUCAGUCGCUAUGGGUCAAAUUAGGGAAGCAGCAAUCCAAGUUGUGGUGCUGAGCAGUAGAUUACUCCAGGGGAACAACAAGUAAAAAGAUUUUCUCUCCAGUCUGCAAAGAAGAAACAGAUUUUCUUGGCAGCUGCAAAGGGGAAAGUAGCUGGUGAACACACAUAUCUGAAGGCUAAUAGAUGCUGAUCCACAAUACUUUGGCAUGUAUAUAACACCGACUGCCAGUCAACAGGCUCAAUUGUGGUAGCGGAGGUCAGCAAGGGAAGAUCUCAUUAUUGAGCCCAAAUCAGAAACUUGCUCUGGAUGAUAACACCCAUCACAUAGGAAGUACCUACUGUUCACUAGAGAUGGUUACAUUUUUGGAAGGUAGGUGGUGGAGUGAAACCGCAGACAGCUUCCUUUCAGCAGCUAGGAAGAGAGAAAACCUAAAAAGCAGUAAGUAGUAUGCCAAGUGCACUCCAAGGCUUUUGGUGAACUGUUGCAGUGACAUUAGCACGUGGCAGCAAGCAUGCUGUAGAUUCAUGCCCUAGCUUGCAGGGCAGUAACUUGCUGUCUAGUUGGCAGCAAAGUAUCCAUCCCAACAGGACCCAGGUAUAGUAAACAUGGGAUUCUUGUUUUGGGUUUCUGAACAUAUACAGACAUAGUAGCUCCGUGGAUCUCUAACCUACAAAGGGUAAAAUUUGCCCCAGUGCAGAGGAGCCCCAUACACUAUUUACAUCCUCAUAAUAGGUCUACAGUGGGACUGAAGUUCUGCAUAAUCUUGUGCUGGCCUCCUGAGCAGUGUGAAUACACUCAGACUGAGAUACACUGGGUCUCCUUAACGUCUGGCAGACAUAGAUUGGGUUGCUGACCACACUACAACAAAUGGGAAUUACAAACUACUGCAGUACAACCAACUUUCC
rnacentral:lncRNA from 1 species